UAGCUCAGCUGGUAAAGCAUCUGCCUGCAAUGCAGGAGACCUGGGUUCAAUCCCUG
rnacentral:tRNA from 1 species